rnacentral:lncRNA from 1 species
GCCGAGCAGGCGCCGACUGAGCCGGCCACUCCCAAGCCGGAGGCCCCCUCCACCUCUGGCGAAAAGAUUGAGGUGAAGAAGGUCGACGCCAGCGCUCCGCUGCUGCAAAAGGGCCAGGGCACGGCCAUCGUCACCGGCGCUAUUUCCGCCAUCCUGGGCCUCGCCUACCUCGCGCUGGUUGCUUUCAUGGACCAGCGCGGGGGGCAGAUGCUACCUCCUCCUCCUGAGGCCCUGAUCCCCUAAGUGGCAGGCGCUGAACAGUAGUGCCAUAGCCCAGGCCUGGGGGUUUGGGUGGGUCAGCGUCACAUGCGGUUGAGUGGUGCCUACGCAGCCAACAGUGCUCGCGUGGACGAACGGCGUCAACUGAAGCAGGGUUUAGCGGCGACACCGGCACUCCUCAUCAGGGUCAGGCCAUGAUACAAUACUGUCUGUCGGGGAAGCUGUCCACUUACUGGGUGGGAUGCACGGGCGUGUGGCCGGUUGCGAUGCCCGCGGAUGGCUGCGGAGGGUAAGCUUGUGGCCCACAUCGCUUGCGCUGAAGGCCCCUGAGCCCGGCUUUGACGAGCGCUUAGGCAUGUAGGUAGUUGUAGGUAUGCUUGGUGAGGCGGCUGCGGAUUAUGAUGCGAUGGAUUGGGGGCCCGGCGCAUCCACACGGUUGCUGUUGACGGAUGCGGUCACAACGUGGUUGCCGUCCUGACUAGCACAUGGUUGGAGCAGGUCCUGUUGAGGGUGAGGGCGAGGGGAAUGCAGGCAUGAAUACAGACCGCAAUGAGCACAGUCUGACGCACACAGACCAGCCUUCCGGAGGGAGCUUGGGUUAGCUUGUUUACACGUGGACCGAAGCGGCAGUUUUGCAGUUUUGCAGUUCGUAUGAUGUGCGGGGUGAUGCAACACGGUUUGUGCCGAUUUUUGCGCAGGCACAUGCAUGUGGUUUGUACACAGACAAGUAGUGCAGUGGCGCGCUUGUGUACACGUGUAUCGCUUGCAGACAAAGGUACUGUUGAUGAGUGUUCAAGGUUAGCCAGCCUGACCUGCACGGAACGACGGCGGUUGGAUGGUCAUUUAUCUCGGACUUGGGAACCGUGUAUCGGUCCCCGCAGCGGCACGGGUACGUGUAAACAUCAGUGCCGUCUGCAGAGAGUGUACGGGGUACAAGGAGGGUACAAUAAGAUGGGAAAGCAGGCGUUUUGCAGGGUGUGCUAUAGAGGCAGGCAUUGUUUAGGCGCAGCGGUGCCGUCGCAUCUAACAAAGUGCAGUGUGGGGGCGCACGGGCUAUUCGCGCAAUGCGCAGGCUAAUGCCCGCGAUCCAUAUCUAGAGGGCAGACAGCACGAAGAGAAUCCCUGAACAAGCAAACGCAAUCAGGCGAGCGAAGCCAAACCAUCGUGUCAACGCAGCUGCCUGCCGUUGCUGUGUGCCAAGCUAUCGUUGGCAAAAAGAUGUGCUGCAGUACGGGUCCAGACAACAAGACGUGCUGAAGUGUCCAAUCGUGGAUGCCAUGCUCUGCCUGACUGACAAAUGCAUGACAACAUGAGCCAAAUAGGAGGUCCCAAGCCUCCAAGCCCAGCGCCAAAGGCACCCAGGCCUAUGCCUCCCACGCCCCCCUUCACAGGUGUCCCCAAGCAACACGCCCACGCCGGCAGCCACGCGAGCCCCGAGCCUGUCUGCCCUGCAGUAUGGCCAAACCGUGCGGGACUGGGACCCCGCCCCGCCAGCCUACCUGCGUCCACCUCCUCAUCCAGCUCCCCCAGAUCCAGCUCGUCCUGGUACGACAGCGGCGCCUGCAACUCCUGAAGACUGAGCUCACUGUCGUACGCUGCGCGGCGGCCCGCGUCACGCAGCACCUGUGCAAUUGUAGUCACCGCACGGGCGCGAAGGUCAGAGUUGAGAGGUCCAAGCGCAUAUCGGCCAUGGCUACCAUGAACCGUAGGGUGGCCUGUUAAACCGCUAUCGUGCAUAGUACUUGCGUGUGGCCAGGAUUGGGGCCGCGCGUUUGUAGUGCGCGUGGCCGUGGACACUCGGCGGGGUCCUGACGGGCACGGGUCCCGCAUACCCCAUUGCCACCCCGUGCCCGCGCCCACCUCCCAUGCCUUCUGUACAAGCUCGAACACUUUUGAUGUGCUCGCUACAAGGUCGCCAUCAAGCUCGGCGGCGCCGCACGGCUCAUCGCCUUCGGCAGGCUGCUCCUGGGCCCUAGCUGUGUUACUCACAGCAGUAGCUUUGUCUGGGUGAUACUUCAAGACCGCUGCAUAGUAAGCUUGUUUGAUGUGUGCCAGCGGCGCGUCUCGUGCAACGCCCAAAUUUUCAUAAUGGGUGCGCUGAAGCGAAGCCAUUUCUGCUUUAAUAGGACUGUAAUGUCAUUUACAUGACACUGGAAGCUUGCAGCGACAGGUGAGCAGGCGCGCAAUCUCAGCCCGUGUUUUAACCCACGCGUACACACCAUACAUCCAAUAAAAUUAUUCCAAAGAACUGGGGCUUGCGGCCACGUUUCAAGACAGCUUCGAGUCUAGGAAUUGCCACCACUUGCUUUACAGCAGCAGUUUCGAGCUGAAGUUUCGACAAACUGUCUUAUGAUAUUGCGUUUGCGUUUGGUCUAGAGCAUCGAACAACUUAAACUUCCACCCACCGGGUUGCUAGUAAUAGCGAAGGCAGUCUUGAAGACUGCGUCCGCUCGCUAUUGGAAGCACGGCCACCAGCCGGGCUUGGCCCAAUCGGACAAUUAACAUCAUGGACCUCGAGCAAGGGCAAUGGCAGCGGCCACGGCGCGCCAGGACGUCGUCAACUGGGGCUAACGGGGCUAACGGCGCAACACACGCUGGUCACGCGGCGCUCCUAUCGGUGCCCCCCAUGCUCGGUCGCCUAAUAUUGGGUGGGUUCGUCGCUUUAGAGGACAGCGACACGCUGGAAAAGUUGCAUGGCGAUGACACCAACCGCAGCUGACGAAAAACGCGUGGUGCUCACAAUAAGUUGCCUUUCUGGUGACGCCUUCGUGGGUCGUAAUAUCGUGGGUCUGCGCUGCCUAGCUGUCGAGUUCAGAGUCAGAAAGGGCAAGCGCGUAACCCGGCGUGUGCAUGACCACGUCGCGUCACCCUAACCCCACACCUUGAGCCUACCCCACUCGGUUUCUCGUUGCGAACAGGGACGUGCAUCGCCUUCCUCAUCUUGGGCGUACUUCCAGCCAGCUUUGUGGUGGGUGGUGCACGGACGUGACGUGCGGCAGGCGUGCAGUGUUAGCAGAGCUUUAGGUUGCUGCCUGGCGGCCAACGAUACCGGUACCUGCGUGCGCUCUGUCCACAUCUGUCAAUGACCGGUGUGCCCUUGCCCUUGUUUCCCUAUCAAUGGUGCUUGUGACGCGACUGCAACCCACUACCUGCCGCAGUUUUGGCUGUGCCUGAUGCUGCUGGCCUUCACCUGCCUGCGCAUACGGCUCCAGGCCCAACAACUUCAGCAGGCGUUGGAGCAGGUGCGGUUGCGACGCGUGCCCUGCUGCAAUCUGCGCGCACUGAAUAUCACCGCAUUAUCAUCAGUGUGUGGUCAUACCAGCGAAGCUUAAGACACCCUUCCACCCGGCACCGCGUCUCACACGCGCAGACGCAGGAGGAGCAGGCUGUGGAGCGGCUGGCAGGGCCGCUGGCGGCCGGGGGGCGGCUGCAGCUGGGCGGCGGCGGCGGCAGCGCCUUCGUGCGCCUCAUCCCGGGUGGCGGCGGACUGCUGCUGCUGCACACCGACCCGCGGGCCGCCCUCGAGCGCAUCAAUGCGCAGCUGCAGGCACUGGACGAGGAGGUGGGCGCGGCGGGCGUGGCAGGUGAGAGAAUGCGGGCUGGCGCACGGUUACAUUGCGGUUUCAAACCCCAAGUAUAUUGGAACACAGAGGCUGCUGAUGGCACUUUGUUUGGAGGCACGCGGAGACAGUAUUGACAACGACUAGGGGAAAGGGGAUGCCGGGUAGCGGUGUGGCUGGCGCCAGGCUGGGACCGGGAAGGGCGGUCACCUCGCCGCCUCUAACCUUUCCAUAUGCCUUGCCUCACCCUUCCACAUGCCUCGAUCACGCCUCGCUCGCAGCGGACUACGACGCCUUGCUGCGCCUUGGCCGCACCGGGCCGUUGCACCCCGCCGCCAUCCUGCACGGCGCCGGCCUGGCCCGGGUCGCGGCCGCUGUGGCGGCGCCGCCGCCCCUGUCGGAUGAAGACAUCGCCGCUCUGCCCAGCUACCCCUACAAGGCCCCGCGGGCCAGCAGCAGCAGCAGCGGCCCUGAUGCCGCGUCGCCACACCGCCAGAAAGACCCGCAGCCGCACGCAGCCCCGGCGGACUUGUUGCCAGAGCAGCCCUCCAGCGGCGCUCUCGUGAGCCUUGCUUCCGGCGAGGCGCCGGCGGCGCUGUCCUCCGGGGCGAGCCUGCGACGCAGCGGCUCCGGGCUCUCACCUCGGCAUGUUGCGGCGCAGCAAGCGCGACUUCCGGCAGAGUCAGCGGGGCUGAGCGUAACGGCAGGCGGCGGCUCCACGGCGGCAGCCCAUACAACAGCAUCGGGCUGCGGCGGCCACGAGGGUCUGACGUGCUCAGUGUGUCUGGACCAGGUGGGGGACGGACAGAUGGUGACGACGCUGCCGUGCCUACACCAGUUCCACAGCGCCUGCAUCAACCCCUGGCUGCGGCACAAGGGGCUGCACGCGAGCUGCCCGCUGUGCAAGACGCCCGUGUUCCGGUGAAGGGCGGUGAAGGAGUGCAUGGGUAGCCAGCAGAGCAGGAAGGAGGAUUGCUGUUUAUUUAGGGCAGGCUGUGCAUGUGCGCUGUCAGGCAUUGGCAUGCGUGUUGCGCUGCAUUUCGGUGUUGCAUGGUAAUGCAAAACACUGGAAGGGCGAUACAGUUCUUUAGGAUAUGGCGCUUUUAUUCGUUCCGGCCGUUCCGGCGGGUCCGCUUUCUGCGGACCAGGCAGGUUUAGCACAUGUUAGCUCAUGGCUGCAGGCGCGUCUGAGACUUUCGCACGUAUGAACACCUCCUGUGAAAUGUGGACUGAGGUUGGCAGGGUGGCCAGACCGCAUCGUCCAACGGAACAUGUGUCCUUGCGGGUGCAGGAAGCUAGCUAGCACGCACCAUAAUGGGAGGCGCACGGGCUGCUGUGUUUAUUUAUUGCGGGGGGUGCAAUGGACUGUAGCAGCAGCUGGCAUGUACACUGGCAAACGCAUCACACGGCGCCCCGUGCUUUGGUGCCGCAAUUGGCGCACCAGGCCGUGAUCGUGCGACGUUGGGGCGCUCUUCCUCGCCGACCGCGUCUGACAAUUAUGUUCGUGUUUAAGCGUACGUGGCGAGGCGCAGGUUAGGCAUGCCACACCACUGAAUGUUACUACCGUAUUGUUAUGUUGGUGGGUCUGCGCAUUGUUGUUGGUCGUCUUAAGUAAAGAUCAAGCUGCUGGUCCUAACUUAAGUCUGGGGUGCUAUGAGUUUUCCCCAUGUGGUCCUUAUGUACUGCAGCACUGUCACCUACUCUUUCGCAUUUAACGAGUGUGUUACCUGGCUGGGUAGGGGCAACUGAGUCUGCUACCGUGGGCGCGCGGCACGGCUUGCCGUGCGCGUGUGUUACCUAGGCGGGAUUGUGGGUGCUGGCAGGUGCUGGCGCGAUAGUGCUGAGUCAAGUGCUGUAGUAGGACAAUCGGCAAAAGGCACACUUGGAUGCCCCAGGGCGUGCUCCACAGGGUUCAGUACCGAAUGUGCGUAGAACUACUGCGUUCCGCCCCACACGUGCUGACUCGGGCGGCAACAGAUGAAAUGAGUGCACUCUUAAUGAGUUACCUACUUGUGGAUGGGCUGGUGGUGGUAUCAGACGCGCAAUGAAGAAUCGCCGAGCUGUAUGGACUCGUCGCCUUUGAGUAAUAGCAUGAAGCAAGGUCCAUCAAAGCGGAACCAGUGGGAAGGGAUGAGCCAUCAGAAGGGUGGAGCAGGCAGCCCGUCAGUCGUCAGAGGACCAAGCGUUGCCGCGUAUCAAGCGGUAAGGGUGGCCAAAGCGCAAGGCAGCGCAAGACGCCGCCGCCGCCGCAGCUGCCGAAGCCGCGAACAAGCGCGCCUGCAAUGUCGACUGCCAGCGCCACUACCAACCAGCAGUCGGAGAAGGGCAAAACGACCAAGCGCAAGUACAAGCAGCCGGAGGAGGGCAAGACGACCAAGCGCAAUCACGAGCAGUCGGAGGAGGGCAAGACGACCCGGCGCUAACCGCCUACGCCUCAGCCGCACCGACCUCGCUCUCGCGCGCGGCCACGACGGCGGCCCGCGCCCCCUGGCCUAUGCCAGCAUCCUUACCGUCGCCGCCGUAGGCCGCCGUCCUCACGGCCACCAAGCAACCCCUUUUACCUGUGUUUUGGCAACAUCCACACCACGGCUACGCUGGCAGCGCGCUGGCCCACCCCCAUUUCGGCGAUCCCUACGGGGUCGGCAACCCGUACCGGUGCAAGAAGACGGGCAUGUGGCAGCGCUACUACUUUACGCUAGAGUGGUUCAACCAGCUCAUCCGCGUGACCGUUGCGGGCACCGGCCCCACCACCAUGGACGAGUGGAUCCAGCUGGUCAAUGAUGGUGCAUGGGAUGUCGCGCUGCGCCUCCACACCCUCACCAUCGCACCCUCAGCGCUC